CAAACGGGUGAGGAACGCGUGGACAACCUACCCCGGCGUGGGGAUACCCGCCAGAAAUGGCGGCUAAUACCGCGUACGGUUCUCCGGCGUCAGGCUGGGGAAAGAAAGCAGUAAUGCGCGCUGGGAGGGGUCUGCGGCCGAUUAGCUUGUUGGCGGGGUAACGGCCCACCAAGGCGAUGAUCGGUAGCUGGUCUGAGAGGAUGAUCAGCCACACGGGGACUGAGACACGGCCCCG
rnacentral:rRNA from 1 species